ACACCGCUAGAUUAGACAACACCGCUAGAUUAGACAACACCGCUAGAUUAGACCACAGGCACCACCGCUAGAUUAGACCACAGGCACCACCGCUAGAUUAGACCACAGGCACCACCGCUAGAUUAGACCACAGGCACCACCGCUAGAUUAGACAACACCGCUAGAUUAGACCACAGAUACCACCGCUAGAUUAGACCACAGGCACCACCGCUAGAUUAGACCACAGGCAACACCGCUAGAUUAGACCACAGACAACACCGCUAGAUUAGACAACACCGCUAGAUUAGACAACACCGCUAGAUUAGACCACAGGCACCACCACUAGAUUAGACCACAGACACCACCGCUAGAUUAGACCACAGGCACCACCACUAGAUUAGACCACAGACACCACCGCUAGAUUAGACAACAGGCACCACCGCUAGAUUAGACCACAGGCACCACCGCUAGAUUAGACCACAGGCACCACCGCUAGAUUAGACCACAGGCACCACCGCUAGAUUAGACCACAGGCAACACCGCUAGAUUAGACCACAGACAACACCGCUAGAUUAGACAACACCGCUAGAUUAGACCACAGGCACCACCACUAGAUUAGACCACAGACACCACCGCUAGAUUAGACAACAGGCAACACCGCUAGAUUAGACCACAGGCACCACCGCUAGAUUAGACCACAGGCACCACCGCUAGAUUAGACCACACCGCUAGAUUAGACCACAGGCACCACCACUAGAUUAGACAACACUGCUAGAUUAGGCACCACCACUAGAUUGGACAACAGGCACCACCGCUAGAUUAGACAAGAG
ensembl:lncRNA